rnacentral:pre_miRNA from 1 species
AGCUUUUUGAAUCCGUGUAGAGAUUUCGUCAGACACAAAUUCAUUAGAACUGAUAAGACUUCCAAGAUAAAUGAAGUU